CACUCAGGAAUGCCGCCACUGCCUUUGCAAAGCCUUGUAUCUUUGCCAUGCUUCAUAAAGAGACUCCAAUUCAUGUUGUUGAAAGCCAGAUAUCUCGUUUCUGAACUU
rfam:Beta vulgaris subsp. vulgaris Bvchr8.sca015.con0074.1, whole genome shotgun sequence.